rnacentral:lncRNA from 1 species
AGCCUGGCAGGCUACAGUCCAUAGGGUCACAGAGUCAGACAUGACUGAAUUGACUUAGCAUGCGCACAUGCAGUGCUCUUAAGGCAUUUAACACAGAGUUACCUGGAACCUUUUUAAUGUUGUUAGUGAAAAGCUGCCUUCAGUACAUCUUGUGGGCCCAGACCUGUGGUAGGCAUUUGACCUUAAGGCAUGUACUAGGCAUGUUACUUACAGGGUGGCAUAAUUUAAUCCUCACAGAGCUAUCCCCGUGUUGCAAGAGGAAGCUGAAGGUUGCAGUGGUUUAAUAACUUGCCUAAAGGCACAAGCUGGAAAUGGCAGUGCCAGGAUUCAGAUUGACUUCUCUCUGACUUUGAAGCUAUGCUGUUUCCAUUAAUGUGACAGUGUCUGUACAUGAAUCUUGUAGGUCCCAGGAGGGAGUCUUUGGCCUGUUGUGAACUAGACCAGGUCUUCCAGGUCUGAUGCUUUGCUCAGUGAGGAUGGGCAGUGCCUUUGUUCUGAUCACUGGAGCAUCUUCCGUGUCACUUAGUGAGAUGUGAGAUACUGCCUUCAUUCCAUUGCUUGGGGACCUGACCCAGCCAUAAUGGCAGGGAAACAGUGAAACAUUAAUCUGCUGAUAACCAAAACAGAGCUGCAGUCUGAGCUCUUGAGCUGUUACAGAAUAUUUAGGGUUUUGAGUGAUUUGUAAAAGGUUGAGAGACCAGUAAGCAGCAGCACUGGGAUUUUGUUCAGGGUUUUCUACCCANNNNNNNNNNNNNNNNNNNNNNNNNNNNNNNNNNNNNNNNNNGUCCUUAGGUGGCGCUAGUGGUAAAGAACCCGCCUGCCAAUGCAGGAGAUUUAAGAGAUGCAGGUUCCAUCCCUGGGUCUAGAAGAUCACCUGGAGAAGGGCAUGGCAACCACUCCAGUAUUCAAGGGUUGCUGGGGCCUAGACUUUCAGGUGGAGGGCAGAAGACAGCUGCUAGCCAGGAGACUGAGGGCAGUGACUUUCUUGGGAUCCCAGGAAAGCUCCCAGGUGUUUAUCAGAUAUACUUUGGUGACCUGCUCAUUCAAGGAGAGCUGUCCCAUCCUUUUCUCCUCCAGACAGACCCUUCUCAUGAGAUGGGGCAGCCUCAAUGGAUUUUCCAAAAAUGUGCUUCAUCAGGCAAGCCCAGGACUGACCACCAUUGGUUGA